rnacentral:rRNA from 1 species
AAAUUGAAGAGUUUGAUCAUGGCUCAGAUUGAACGCUGGCGGCAGGCCUAACACAUGCAAGUCGAGCGGUAGCACAGAGAGCUUGCUCUCGGGUGACGAGCGGCGGACGGGUGAGUAAUGUCUGGGAAACUGCCUGAUGGAGGGGGAUAACUACUGGAAACGGUAGCUAAUACCGCAUAAUGUCGCAAGACCAAAGUGGGGGACCUUCGGGCCUCAUGCCAUCAGAUGUGCCCAGAUGGGAUUAGCUAGUAGGUGGGGUAACGGCUCACCUAGGCGACGAUCCCUAGCUGGUCUGAGAGGAUGACCAGCCACACUGGAACUGAGACACGGUCCAGACUCCUACGGGAGGCAGCAGUGGGGAAUAUUGCACAAUGGGCGCAAGCCUGAUGCAGCCAUGCCGCGUGUGUGAAGAAGGCCUUCGGGUUGUAAAGCACUUUCAGCGGGGAGGAAGGCGGUGAGAUUAAUAACCUCAUCGAUUGACGUUACCCGCAGAAGAAGCACCGGCUAACUCCGUGCCAGCAGCCGCGGUAAUACGGAGGGUGCAAGCGUUAAUCGGAAUUACUGGGCGUAAAGCGCACGCAGGCGGUCUGUCAAGUCGGAUGUGAAAUCCCCGGGCUCAACCUGGGAACUGCAUUCGAAACUGGCAGGCUAGAGUCUUGUAGAGGGGGGUAGAAUUCCAGGUGUAGCGGUGAAAUGCGUAGAGAUCUGGAGGAAUACCGGUGGCGAAGGCGGCCCCCUGGACAAAGACUGACGCUCAGGUGCGAAAGCGUGGGGAGCAAACAGGAUUAGAUACCCUGGUAGUCCACGCCGUAAACGAUGUCGAUUUGGAGGUUGUGCCCUUGAGGCGUGGCUUCCGGAGCUAACGCGUUAAAUCGACCGCCUGGGGAGUACGGCCGCAAGGUUAAAACUCAAAUGAAUUGACGGGGGCCCGCACAAGCGGUGGAGCAUGUGGUUUAAUUCGAUGCAACGCGAAGAACCUUACCUGGUCUUGACAUCCACAGAACUUUCCAGAGAUGGAUUGGUGCCUUCGGGAACUGUGAGACAGGUGCUGCAUGGCUGUCGUCAGCUCGUGUUGUGAAAUGUUGGGUUAAGUCCCGCAACGAGCGCAACCCUUAUCCUUUGUUGCCAGCGGUUCGGCCGGGAACUCAAAGGAGACUGCCAGUGAUAAACUGGAGGAAGGUGGGGAUGACGUCAAGUCAUCAUGGCCCUUACGACCAGGGCUACACACGUGCUACAAUGGCAUAUACAAAGAGAAGCGACCUCGCGAGAGCAAGCGGACCUCAUAAAGUAUGUCGUAGUCCGGAUUGGAGUCUGCAACUCGACUCCAUGAAGUCGGAAUCGCUAGUAAUCGUAGAUCAGAAUGCUACGGUGAAUACGUUCCCGGGCCUUGUACACACCGCCCGUCACACCAUGGGAGUGGGUUGCAAAAGAAGUAGGUAGCUUAACCUUCGGGAGGGCGCUUACCACUUUGUGAUUCAUGACUGGGGUGAAGUCGUAACAAGGUAACCGUAGGGGAACCUGCGGUUGGAUCACCUCCUUA